ensembl:processed_transcript
CCUUACGCCGUGAGUUGGCUCCUGCGGAUAAAAGCAAAGUAGCGUCUGGUAACGUCCUAGGGUGUCUCGAAGAGAUGACGUUUCGAGACGAUGCGCUCGGUCGUCUGCGGAAACCGGAAGCCAUUCCUCCCGCUGCACCUCCGCUCUGCCAGGCAGGGCUACUUCCAGGCACUCGGUAGCGUAGUCUGCAGGCCGAGCAGCAUUUGCACUCGUGACAAGCUGCUUGUGCCACUCAACCUUCCGCAACCAGACAUUUGUUUCUACACAUCAGACUAAUUGUUCUGACGUAUAGACGCCUCCAAAGUGGCGUCGUGCCAUCCAAUGGAAAAACAAGCUGUCUUUCUGACCUACCCAGGACUCAGGAAGCUGAAUUCACAGCAUUUGCACAGCACCUGUGGAGGGAAGCAUGAGGCCAAGCUGAGAACGAGUUUCCCACACACGAGCACUGAAUAUCACAUUCAUUCCACAAGCACAUCUGGGGACAGGAUGUAUUUGUUGAGGAACAGUGUACAGAAGCUGAAGAAGAACCACAGUGUGAGGUAGAUGAGAGCCCUUGAACUCCACACACCCAGGUCCGACUCAAUGACAGUAGUCUCUGUGAUGGUGACAGUGAGCAGGCUCUCCUCUGGGCUGCCAUCACCUUUGGUAAAGACAAUCUUCUCACUUCGGUGACCAAAAAGAGACCCCCAAGUGAGAAGUGUUUUUCCCUUGGGCUCUUCCUCGCAGCCAGGCGCUGCCUCCUCCGGCACUUGGGAUUUCGCUGCUGCUGACAUGCUGAGGGCACUUUCGAGGAGGGAAUCUCAAAGACGGACCACAUGGAUCAAAGCAACUGCCCAGACAGAGAGACACAGCUGGAGAAAGAGGCAGCAGUCCUGGUCUGCGUGAAUGUUGACUCCAGCAUGCUGGUCUCCAGCAAAGUAAGGAAGCAAAGGCUAAAAUGGUAAGAAAAGAAACCACAUUACUAAUUUUGAACAUUUUAUAUUUUUUGUAACCUGUGUAAGAUGCAUUUGACACCUGAAUGUAUCUAAGUGCAGACAUAUGCGGAGGCCAGAGAACAACCUGCCUUGUACUUAUGUUUGCCACUAAGUGAGCUAGUUGGUCCGCAAGCUUCCAAGGGUCCUCCUGCCUCUAUUUUCUAUCUUACCUUCCAAAGAUUCUCCUGGUUUUUUGUUUUCAAUAUUGCCAAGGACGCACUGAGAUUAUAAUUGCCAGGUCCUGGAGCCUACACUGAGCUCAGGAGAUACCAAACUGGGUCAACCCUCUUCUUUUUCUUCUUCCCAGGCUGGUUCAGCCCACAGCGGGCCUUGCCCCCAAUCUCUAAUGACAUUGUCUGCAUCUUCUCAGCCCUUUCAGGAACCAGGAACCAACCAUAGAUAGAAGGAACUGAGUGUUCCUCUCAAACUGCUAUUUUUCAUGCCUGGUUUCUCCAUACCUUCCACAGAAACCCUCUGAACUUUAUCCAAAGCCUCUACCUGUUCCUAACUGGAAUGCUGAUUCACCACAUUGAAUAUUUAAUUUAAGAGAAGUUCUUCUUGAUUCCAUUUCAAACUGGCCUGUUCUCUUUUUGUUCUUUCAUUCCUCCUUCACAUCCUUUAUUGUCUCUGCUGGUUUAUUAUCCAUAGAUCAUAGCGAUUAGGUCCAUUUUUUCUUGGUGUACUACACAGGUGAAUGUAGUAGAGAGCAUCUUAGACUACAUCCCUUCAUCUCUUAUCCUAGCCUGAGAUUUGCCCAGGGCUCAGGACCAAUUUUAUGUUACUUUCUAGGCAAACACUACACUAAUGGCAUCAACUUAAAGCUUGGCCCCAGGAUGCUCAGGCCUGUGCUACAAUGUCUGUAGGUGAGAAGUCUACCACUAUAAGCCAAACCAUCCUGUCCUCCUGUAGAUACUGCAUUUUCCUAGUACUGGCUUUGAGCAGGGUCUCAUCUUUGACCUGCUUCAUCUAAUGAGGACCAAGGUCACCUCCUGUCCAAAAAACACAUCAUAGAGUGCUUGCCUACCAUGCACAAACCCUGAGGUUUGUACUCUGUACUGGAGCUAAUACUGGCUUCUGGCUUCUACAGGGACCAGGCAUAUAUGUGGCUCACAUAUACACAUGAGACAAGUACCCACACACGUAAUAAAUAAGACAAAUUUUAAAAAGGGCACUGUAGUGACAAUUCUGGAAUUUUGGUUUCUUUAAAAACACAGAAUUAUUCUAUGGAUAUGGCUUUGUUUUAAUCCUAGGUGUGGGGUAAGGGGCUGCUUUGAACUGUCUGUAGCAGCUGACUAUGCAUCGCCUCAUGCUCUAGCAGAGACAUGGUUUUGCCAACUGCAUAUAGUUUCUGAGAUUGUGUGACAUUUGGAAUUCUGGGAACUUUUCAGAAGGUAGAUAAAUGUUAGGACCAUACUAGGCGGGGUUGGUGGUUGGUGGUCGUUCAAGGGUGCAGUUUGUUAGUAGUCCUGCUCAAAGAAGAAAUAAAUUACAUUUGGAGAU